CAGAUUAGAGCUUGGUUAGAAAGCAUUUUAUUUACACUAAAAGGUUGUCGUGCAAUUCGAUUUAAUUUGA
rnacentral:tRNA from 1 species